GCUUAGCCCUAAACCUAGAUAGUACCACAACCAACUAUCCGCCAGAGCAUUACAAGCGAAAAGCUUAAAACUCAAAGGACUUGACGGUGCCCCACAUCAACCUAGAGGAGCCUGUCCUAUAAUCGAUAAUCCACGUUAAACCUCACCCGCCAUUGCACAACCCCCAGUCUAUAUACCGCCGUCCCCAGCCCACCUAAUGAUAGAACCAUCAGUGGGCAAAAUAGCCUCCACACUAAUACGUCAGGUCAAGGUGUAACUAAUGGGCGGGAAGAGAUGGGCUACAUUUUCUAGCACUAGACCACCACCAGAGGCAACAUGAAAUAUACGCCAACAAGGAGGAUUUAGCAGUAAGUUCCGGGUAAGACACCCCCAACUGAAGCCUGCCCUGGGGCGCGU
rnacentral:rRNA from 1 species